UCUCUUUUUGAUUUUUUCCAGCAUGACGGCCAGCCCUAUUGCCACAAGCCAUGCUAUGCCGUCCUCUUCGGGCCCAAAGGCGUGAACACUGGUGGUGUGGGCAGCUACAUCUAUGAGAAGGAGCCCAGUGCAGUGACCCAGCCCUGAACCUUAGACCCUCUCCCUUCAGCCUCAUCCCUCUGCUCAACUCAACACUGACCACAUCAACCACAGUAUUAGUCUUGGCCUCUUUUUUUUUUUCCCUCUCUCUCUCCUUCACCUGUGCGAUUAUACCUGAGACAUCCAGCCUGCUGCUCCGGAUCCUUCUCUCCUUCAUUCCCACCUGCUUCUAGCACCAUGAGGAGUAACUCCAAGUAUCCCUAAACAUGUGUUCAAUGUAUUUCCUCAACCACAUCCCAGCAUCCCUCCACAUUAGCUCCAUGCUAAUAAACAGCAUUCAAGUAAAGUCACCCAUUUUUGCCAUGUUUACACAUUCUAAUGUAUCUUAACACAUUAAAUGUCACCACAAAUGAACAAAAAGGUGUUUCAAUGUACAGCCUAAAAAAAAAGAAAAAAAAAAGAAGAUGGGCAGUCAUUCUCAGGUGUGGAGAGGGUGCAUUGUGGGUUUAGCUGCAGCAUGUUGACAAACAAUGGAGGAAUUUCUGUCGCAGACACAGGUGUUGCUCAGGAGUACUUUGCCAAUAAAA